UCUAUACAUAAAGGCAGAUGAAUUUAUAGAAGCUUAUGGAGUAGAGGAAAUAUGUCAUUCUAUGUAUUAAAGAGGAUAAGAGGGAGGAGAAGGUUAACUUGUAAAUAUAGGCAGAAGUUUAUGUGCCAAGGAAAAUAUUUAAAUGAUUUGUAUUAUGCAUGUAUUGAAAUGUUAUGAACUUGGAUGUUUGUAUGUAUAAGGCUAUGGGAUUUACUUACAAGGUCUGUGGUGUUUUUUUUUACUUAUAAGGUUGUACUUAGGAUUUUACUUAUAAGUUCUGUGGCUGUGGGUACCUCCUACAAAGCCUUUCUACUAUGGCUAUUAAUUAACAAAAUCCUCUUUCUUUCAGCUUGUGUACUGGCUCAGAAAGUAGUUAAAGGGUGCAUGUUAUCUAUGAAGGCUAUAUCAAUAAGUAUGGAAGUGUGUUAUGGCUAUUAACAACAAUCUCUCUUUCAGCAUGUGUACGGGGAUAGAAAGUUACUUGGCAUGUAUUGAAAUGUCAUGCACUGAGAGUAUUUACGUAAAGGGCCGGGGUUAUUUCUUAUAAGCUACCAAGGACAACCUCUGCUGCUCUGGGUAUCAACUCCUGCACUCCUGGGACUGGCAUAACAUCUGCAUGCCCUUGUAACAACUCACUCUGCUUCUGCUAUUCAUAACACCCCGUUCUGCGUCUGCUGUCGUAACAGGGCAUGGCUUCUGUAUACUAACUCCUGCUCACAUAACCCGCAUGGAUUUACAGUUCUCUCUGCUUCUGGCUUUCGUACCUAUCAACACAUUCUGCGCCUUCCUUCGUAACUAAUCCCACGGCUUCUCUGCAUGACAACUCCAGCUGCUUACGGCAAAAUUUCGCAUAACAGCUACUCCUGCUUACGUAUGACAAUUCUCUCUGGCUUCCAUAACAGCACGUAUGGCUUUUGCAUGUGAACGCAUUUCAUUUCUGCUGCACACUAACCCACACUGCUGGCUUGAGUAUCCUAACGACCUAACCCAUUCUGUAAGCUGCCGCCCAGUGCUCCAGGUGACCCCUAACAAGCCUGUCGGAUCGGCGUCUAGCGAGGGAGGUUCCGUCAGGUUCCGUUCCCUGCUAGAGCUGUCUCCCUUCACCUUAAAAAAUAUAGUUUGACAUAAUUUGAGAGCAGCAGUACAGGCCAGGUAUCAGAGAGGGGUUCAGGCCUAUAUGGGGACACCUCUGUUAGGCUUGUACCUCAAUAAAUAACUAGAAAAAAGUUGGAAAGUGUUAAACAAUGACCAUACGUAACCUAGUCAUGUGUGAAUCCUGACUAUGGAGGGAGAUUAUCCUCAAACACGUACGGUUAUAUAUAUACAUGUCUUUUACCCACCCAUGCGUGCAGUACGGGUGGUGAACUCUGACCUCUAUGAAAUAAAUAUACGUAACAGGAAAAAAA